rnacentral:rRNA from 1 species
AUUGAACGCUGGCGGCAGGCCUAACACAUGCAAGUCGAGCGAGCGGCGGACGGGUGAGUAAUGCCUGGGAAUUGCCCAGUCGAGGGGGAUAACAGUUGGAAACGACUGCUAAUACCGCAUACGAUUGGAUUGCCCAGGUGGGAUUAGCUAGUUGGUGAGGUAAUGGCUCACCAAGGCGACGAUCCCUAGCUGGUCUGAGAGGAUGAUCAGCCACACUGGAACUGAGACACGGUCCAGACUCCUACGGGAGGCAGCAGUGGGGAAUAUUGCACAAUGGGGGAAACCCUGAUGCAGCAACGCCGCGUGCGGGAUGACGGCCUUCGGGUUGUAAACCGCUUUCAGCCAUGACGCGGUAGUGGCAGAAGAAGCACCGGCUAACUACGUGCCAGCAGCCGCGGUAAUAC